GUAGAAUUCGAAAUCCCUUAUUUCUCUACCAGAAUUAACGCCACUUUCUCUCUCCCAUAUCUUCCCAAAUCUUUAUUUAAUUAAUUAUGGGAAUAUAUUCUUGCACUCUAUAAAUAAGAGAGAAAACCUAACACUAGCCCCCACUAAAUACACGCCUACUUCUCUCCCUCACUCCACUCUCCACUCUCCCUCUCACUCUCAAUUUUUCUUCUACUUUUCUCCAAGAAUUCUUCAUUCUUUGCAAAGAAUUGAAGUUGAAACUCAAGAAUUGUUGAAGAAUCAAGGGUAAUACUUUGUUCUACCAUUCGUUUCUAUCAAGAAAAGGUUGAGCGGCGACCAGCGGUUGGCGGUGUUGAGCAAGUUAAUUAAAAUGUUGUGAUUGUCUUGAAACUCUUAUAUGGCUCAUUUCAUGCAUCGGUUUAAAGGGUAAAAAGUACGCCACUUGAUCUGUUUAUUGCGGAAAACAAGUGUUAAAAGUGCAGGAAUGCAGCUUGACCAAGGCAUCAAGGCUAAACUCAAGUCGGCACAAAGGACGCAAAAGGCCAAGAAAUCAGGGAGAUUGAUGAAGGGGAGUGAUCAAGCAGUUAGGCGGGGACCAUUGGCAAAGAGAAGAGGACACGUGCCGAUACAAAGGACACCAUCCUGCUAUGAAGGGACCACUGUCUUCUAGAAGGAGGAAUACGUGUCGACCAAAGAGACGCGCGGUCCUGGAAGAAAGUGAAUAUUCGCCGACAAGGUUGUUAUCCCUGCUGGAGGAUCGCUGCGGCGUGCCUAUAAAUAGAGGAUGCGACACCACAAUAGAGAAUCCUUUAUCCGCUUUCUAGUUAGUUCUUAGUUUUAGCUUAGUUUAUUUAACUUUCAUUCCAGUUCUUAGCUAGCUUAGUUUAGAAUUUCAGUUAGUGAAGCGUAAGUGAUUCAGUGCGAUAGAGGCCUCAGUUCUGUCCGGCGCAGUUUCCAGUUUCCGACCGAGAAUCGCUCGGCCUUUACUAGCUUUAUGUUCUUUCAAUUUCGUAGCUAGUUUUCAUUUUGGACGAGAUCUAUUCUGGAAUCAAAGUUCUUUUGUUUUCGGAUCUUCAAGUUCACUGUCACAGUUUAAUUUCUCGCUUUUAAAUAUUGUUCCAUGUGCCUAGUUAUAAUGAAUGUUAAAAUGAUUUACUGUUC